GAUCCGCUAGCUCAGUUGGUAGAGCAUCCCCCUUUUAAGGGGAGGGUCGAUGGUUCAAGUCCAUCGCGGAUCACCA
rnacentral:tRNA from 1 species